UCACCCAGUCCGUUUGUCUAGAUGACACAACAGUCAAGUUUGAGAUCUGGGACACAGCUGGGCAGGAGCGAUAUCACAGCUUAGCCCCCAUGUACUACAGGGGUGCCCAAGCUGCAAUCGUGGUUUACGACAUUACUAAUCAGGAAACCUUUGCCCGAGCAAAGACAUGGGUGAAAGAACUACAGCGACAGGCCAGUCCUAGCAUCGUUAUUGCGCUGGCAGGGAACAAAGCUGACCUGGCCAACAAGCGUAUGGUGGAGUAUGAAGUAAGAUGGCCCGUGGAGUUCCUCUCUAACACUUCCUCUGUUCCUGGGACCUCUUUUUUUCCAAACCAGCCCUCUCUGAAAAUGUCAACUGAGGACAUUCAUUGUCUCAUUCCCCAGUUCUACACCAAGUUAAAUACAGCAACACUGUGACCCUAAUGACAGCCAGGAGAUUUUCAGAGGAGUCAGGAGAAAACUCCAGAGCAGAGGGUUAGGGAAGUACCAGCUGUGGGGGUACCAGUGUGAAAACAGGAAGGAGGGAGCAAUUAAAUUUGUGGUAAGGGACUAUUCAAGU
rnacentral:sRNA from 1 species